rnacentral:lncRNA from 13 species
CUCUCUGGUGGCCCAGGACAGGGUCCUGCAUAAAGCAGGUGCUUAGUGAGUAUUCAUUGAAUGAAACUGACAGCUGACCCAAUCUUACCUGCACUGUUGUCACCUAUGUGGGCAUAGUGAGAGCUACCACACGGUUCUAACAUAUGAAUUGUUGUUGGAGAUAUGCAGUUGUUCGUGAGGGUUUGAAAACUUGCAUAAGCUAAAAAGGAAGCUUUUAUAAACCUUGGAGAGGAGCCUCUAUACUUCAUUCAGGUCAACCUGCUUUAGCACACAGAGUCUCACUGUGUCACCAGCCUGGACUGCAGUGGUGCGAUCUCAGCUCACUGCAGCCUCUGCCUUCUGGGUUCAAGCAAUUCUCCUGCCUCAGCCUCCCAAGUAUCUGGGACUACAGACACUUACCACCACACCAAGCUAAUUUUCGUAUUUUAAAGUAGAGAUGGGGUUUCACCAUGUUGGCUAGGAUGGUCUCGAUCUCCUGACCUUGUGUAAACUUUCUUUUCUUUUACCAGCGUGAAGUUC